GAGGUGAAACAUAUGAACAUUGAAAUGUAAUAAAUAAAAAAGAAAGACUAGUAGAAGCUCUGUCUUAACAACAGGAUUACUUGAUAAUAAGAUUGUUAUCGUUUUUUUUUCGUUGUAGUGGGGGAGGGUAAAAUCUUGUAUCUUAUUAACAUAAGAGAAAUACAUAUUCAAAUAUCCAGGCGUGACUUCCUCGGAUUUUCUGAAUCCCCUUGUCAAAGUUUCUAG
rnacentral:lncRNA from 1 species